rnacentral:rRNA from 1 species
AUGCUGGGUGUCAGCUGCUCUCUGUCACGCGAGGCGUCCUGUCCGGCCCCGACAGCGACAGUGGGGCCCAGGAAGACCGUUUGUUCACCACCAUCGGUGCAGCUAACCAGGUGGCGACAGAAGGAGGUGGAGGAAGCUGCUGCUACGCAGGGGAUUGGGGCCAGCGCCUCGGCCUUGAUGCCCAAUGGAGGGCUGCAUGUGGACGGAUCAGUGUGGAUCGGAUUGGUCCAAAUCCCCCUCCCUCUGCAGGAUAUGACAGACGAAGAUUUGCCAAGUGUUGGGACUAGGGAGAAUCAAGAACUCCUGUCGAUGCAGCAGGAUGUGGAAGACUGCGCCAUGCAGGUGGAGCCCUGGGAGACUUUCCAGGUCAGCCUAUCCUCUGGGGAGACCAGCCAGCUGAGGGAUCCGAGGCCAUGCAUGAUCAGGCAUGCGCCGGGCGUGGGCCAGCCCGAGGAUGACGCGGGCCAUGUGGCCAACCAGAUGGCAUGCACGCAAGGCAGUCCGACGAAUGGGGUAGAUGCGGACCCACCUGAGGAGGAGCUCGGCCAUGCGUCGGAUCCGAGGCCAUGCAGUACUGUUCCCAUGCAGGCUGCGGCGGGGAACGAGUUUCACGUAGAUGUGGGGACUUUUUGUGCUGGUGUGCGCCAGCCCUUGUCUCCGAUCCUGCCAAGACCAAGCAAUAGAACUGCUGCCCAAACCUGCCGCCAAGCAAGGAAGAAGCCGAGGCUAGACGCCACGCCUAGGAGGAGUGCUAGGAUCGCCAAACAUGCGGCAACCAAGCCGCAACAAGUGCUCAUCAGAAAGUUGUGCUUGGCACACGAGGGGGAGGCUAUUUCAGAGGGCGCUCUUCGGAUGUAUGUUGACCUUUGCUCACGCCCUCUCUCGGGUGCACACAUUGCGGCUGUGCUGGCGUUGUUUGGAUGGGAAUCACCUCAGGAGCCGUGGAUCGAGGGCCCUAUCGUGGCCUAG